rnacentral:lncRNA from 1 species
GGCAGUCAGAGGAGCGAGCCAGCGUCUUCUCUCUCUGUCCCUCUGCAGACUGGCUCUGGUUGGCACCUGGUACCGCUGGAACCCUGCAAACCAGUUGAAGGUGGCUUCUCGUGAACCUGCUUCCCCGACUCUGAGGGACCCUGGGGACAGUCCUGGGCCUCUGCCCCAGGUGAAGCCAGAAUAAACAGAAUUCAGUCUGGCCACAGUCACCCCUGCAUCACUGCCCACCAGAACCCUGCAAUUUCACCUCAUUUCGAGGGCUUGAAUUGCCUUUGGGAGUUUCUGAAAUAGCUCCCUUGGUAUAGCCUGAGAGGAACUGGUAGGUCAAACCCGGAUGGGAAUGAGCCUAAACAGGAGAGGUGGACGGCCCAGCAGAACGCCCUGAAACCAGACCGUCUGACCCAGAGGGGCCUGAGGGAGCCAACCUCUCAUUUUACCGCAUGCUCACAUGACUUGCCUGGAAGAGCAAAAGGAACUGAACUCCUUCCCAGCUGAGUGCAGCAGCCACUGCUCCAUCAGAAACCUUCACGGGUGGGCGUGGGGGUGGGGGUGGGACUGCCCCGGGCUUUUUCACUGGCUGCCCUUCCAACAGCUUCCUCCCGUGCCCCUGCUUUUUUGCUUCCUCUAAGCCUUCAUCUCUCAUGGCUGAGGUCACUUCUUUGCAGAGACCGUCCUUGAUCAAGCCCUGGCUAGAGAAGCCUCAUCCCUUGUUUUACUAACACCCUUCUUAGGACUUGAUAUCCUGCAUAUCUGCAGGUCGGGAGUCAUUACGUUCUUCGUGAGAAUUUCCAUUCCCAAGCUGGGCCAUUUCUGUUCCGCGCACACCUCCGGGAGUGGCCUACUCAUGAUUGAAUGAAUGACAGACGGAUAUGCCUG